AGCGGGGCAAAGGCCUCCUUGCCCAGCCCGACCCCCUCUGCGUCCUUCUUGCCCUGCUCCGGCUCUUUCCUCCUCCCUUCCACUUUGUCCUUCUCCAUGCCCCGUGCGCCAAACAGACCCUCACUGGGGCCGUCCCCUGGGGAUGCUCCAUCCUUGGCUUUCUCCGGGCUGUGCCUCUCCUUGCCCCGCUCGUCGGUGCACCGUGGGCUGCCACGGGGUGAUGUGUCCUCCCUACCGGGGCUGCCGCCCACUGGCCGCUCCUCGGACACCUUCUCCACCUCCGCAUCACUGUCAGCCCCCGGCUUCUCCUCUCUGCCACUGCCCUUCAGGCGCAGGGGGCUGGGGAGGGGGCCCACGGGGGAGUGCAGAGCGUCGCGCACCGCCGAUGGUUCGCAGGAAGACGCGUCCGAUUCGCCGCCGUCUCGAUCGGGUUUGCAGGGCUCCUCGUACAUCCGCAGUGACGGCAGCGAGAGCUGCUU
rnacentral:lncRNA from 1 species